UGACUCAAAGAUUAACUAAAUAAGAAUGAAUGGUUCGCCGAAAGUAUGAUUCAUUCUUCCGUCGAGUUGAAUGAGAAACAUAAGGCAACGAAAAGAUUCGUAGAAAUAAACAGAAACAAUCAAUGCCAGCAACUUUGAAAAAAUGAGAAAAGGGAUCAUUCAGUGAAAUUGGAUAGAACAACUGAAAACCAAGAAGACGAUCAGAUACCGUCGUCUGAUUUUGGAUUUAAAUGCCACCAUUAAAAAACUCACAGAGUAAGUUCGGUAGGGUGAUGAGACUAAGAUCGACUGAGUCAGGAGCUAGAUGCCGACACUGCAGCUUAAUUUGCAAUUAUUAGUAGAUUACGUCCCAGAAUGAACUGGUGCCAGUCCUAGGAAGUUUAAUAUGCUAGCGUAUUGUCGACAGCCAUGCGCAGGCGUGCGUACGCAUGUCUCGAGCAGCUGAUAUUUAAUGAUCAUGGAUAUAAUACACUGUGGCUAGAGAUCCCGGGAUCUGGUUAUUAUGAUAAACCAAUUGGUGCGGGCGUYCGCUCGCGCGAUGGCGCCGCCUAUACGGGAACUGGUUAUGGUAAGGUGGCUUACCAUCGGAGAAUGUUCGAUUCCGGGGAGCCGGCUACCCAUCGAAGUUACCCAAUCGGAGGUACCGGCGGUAUCGCGGUCGGGCCUAGGUCUGAGAAUUUACUUUGAGGUUGGAGCUCCAAGGCGCCCUGGCCAGUUGUUGCGGGGGGCUCGAACGUUAAUGGAGUUCUCGGGCGUCUGCCGUGCGGCGGUACUGCACCGGUGUCGCGUGAAGAUUUCUGGGCAGGCUUGUUGCAUGUGCGUUAUAAUAUAGUGCUUCAUGGAAGGCGCUUUGGAAUAUUUUGACUUUGCGAAGUGUUCGGACAAUUGGGACAUGUUUUGGCGCCAUUGUACAUUAACGCGUUGUUGGAGUUCGCGCGUACUAGAGUUCUACGGACGUAGGCCUUCGGCGCGUUGGGGCCGUUAUAUGACGGCCAGUACUUGGUUAGCUGAAUGACGUACAGAAGGGCCCUUUCAUGGGAGUAUUCCGGCUCUGCGCCGGCGCACGUUUGCGGGCCAGGUCGUUCUGGCAUAUAUGGAUUGAUUGACAGGCCUUUCGGUGGUGCAUGGCCGUUCUUAAUAACAGGUCUGUGAUGCCCUGUUAACUGGAUUUGCUGGCCGCUAGCCGAGGCUAAUUAGAGUCGACUCACGUGGGUUAACCUUGGUACCAAGUCGAAUGUUCGACGAGCUUCCUGGGAACCGGUUUGAUCAUGAUCAAGCGCGAGCUCGCGUUUACUAGUACCGGUUGAAUAUUUAGGGUUGAUCAGUACUGAUCGCUCUCGGUCGAUCAGCGCUGACGACURGUUGUUUCCGUAGGCCUGCGGAAG
rnacentral:rRNA from 1 species